UGUAUUGCUCUUAUUACCGCUAUUAUUAAUAUUUGCCAUUCAGCCCAGGCUGAGCUCAUUGCAGCCUCACGCGCAGCCUGAGCUCUCCUCACCGCGGGUGCAGCCGGGCGCUACCAGCAAAGCCCUGCAGAAGGCUGCGGGACAGCGCGGCUGCGGGGAAGGGGACUGCAGCCCUUCUUUCUCCCAUAUGUCACGAGCAUGUCAUGAGAUGAUGACAAAAUAAUAACAAGUUGGUGGCUGUUUGAAACUUUUUUUUUUUAGCAGCUGUGUUUUUAGAAUAUUCUAAUUAACCAUCCGCUUGCCUUAAUCACUUUAAGAUUUCUGAAAUAGCUGAGAGCUUGCUGCACCUUCUCUCGACACCAGUCUUCCCCAUGUGGGGACCAUGGCUUUGUUUUUCGGAAGGGAGGGCAGAAGCAGGAGGGCCAGGCUGGAAACACGCAGUCAGGUUUGUCAUUGGCAAGAAUUGCCGACACCAUCGUGCAGUGAUUUUAACUUGCAGCCACUGUCGUACCAGCAAGAAAAGAGGUGACGUUGCCUUUCAUCUGCACAAUGACUGACUCACUUCGCCUGGACUCGGUUUUGCAAAAUUUAAAUGCAGUAAGUGAGGUAUUUGUCGGAAGAAUAAAAGGGUGAACAGUGAGUAAAGGGAAAAAUAUUUGUCAGCCUGCCAGGGAGAAGGAAGAUUAAAAGCUGCCUGUGAAUGAGGCAUGUGGAUGGCACAGCCAUCUCGCCACUCAGUGCCGUUGCCUGCAUCAGGUAAAAGCGGAGGGCUUUAUCUCCAGAACGCACUCCUGUCUGUCAGCGUUAGUUGUUUUCUUAAAUGACAUGUUUUCUUCUGGCAGAUGGGAACAAGCCUUGAAGAAUAAUUUUUUUGGAGGCAGACAAAUUGGCUGCCUGGAAAUGCGUGUGUGUUCGGGAACCUGGUGGCUCUUGGCGCGGGUUGGUGGUGCCCAGCUCACCUCGCCCUGUGGCCUCUGCAGGCCAUGCCUGUCCCCAGCCUGCCACGUGCUCUGAGCAUCGCCCAUGUUACUUUGUGCCCGCAGUACAAAACUUCCUGCUGGCUGUUUCUCCAGCCAGGGGAUUUUACCAAAAUUGAGCUUUGGGCAUGGUGAGCUGGCAGCAGAAGGCAGCAGCUGGAAAGGGUUUUGAACACGGCAGCGGUGCCUGAAGUUUGGCAGCAAGGGAAUGAAACAGUCAACUGAGUCCAAAUCCAUCACCUGGAAGCCCCCGGCAGUGCACGUGGCGCAGUGAUGGUGGGCUCAAGCACAGGCAUCGCUGUCCACUCUGUUGAGCAGGUGGUAUUUGUGGCAGCUCCUCACCGGGCUGUCCUCUCCCUCGUGGCAGUGCGCAUUACCUCCUUCCCUUGCCACAGAGCUGAGCACACUGACAGAUCUCUUCUUUGGGUAACCUUCAGCAUCCUCAGAGAUCUUGAUCCUAACAAGGGGAUUCCAGCAUUCCACACACGGGCACGUCUGCACACAAACAUACAUGUGCCUUCAGACACCUGCAGUUUUCCUUCUCCUUCUCUAUAAAUAUAUACACACAUAUGUACAUCCACAGAUACACAGGCAUGUGUGCGUAUAUGUGUGUGCAAAGAGGGGAGGGGAAAGACACUCAGAAAAUGAAAGACAAAUGUUCAAAAAUAAUAUUCCCAAGCCCUCAAAUCCCUAAUCAUGAGUUUGAUGCAAUAUUUGCCCUAAUGGGAAAUGAUAACUGGCAAUAGUCCAAAGCAAACCUCUUAGAAAGGAGCAAUAAAAAAGGAAAAUGCUAGCUUGGCAGUUAAAGAAAGAGGAGCCGAAGCGAGAACUGCUGUCGGAGAUAAUAAAGAAUUAACCACAAACCCCUUUUCUAUUAAGCACAAAAAAGGAUAUUAAAAUAACAUGCCCCCUCCCUAAAUAUCUAAGGGGUUGUGUCAUACUUUUCUCUGCAGCCUCCCUGGGACUGGCGGAGCUGGGGGCUGCAGCCCAACCCCCCGCCUCUCCGCGCCCACUCCUGCCAGGGCAGCUGCUCCACACUCACACACUUGCUUCUUGCCUGCACGCUGUGGGCACGAUCCCGAUCUUUACCAUCAGAGGGAAUGGGGGCAUGGCCUGAGGGGGUGUGAGCGGGACAGUGAGCUGCAGGGAGCUAUGCCGAUCCUCAAUCCAGCAAAUGUGAAGUCCCCACUGUCCUUGCAAUUCCCUUGCAGUGCCCUCGCAGCACCCUUGCUGCUCUGGUCAGCUCCUGCAGAGUCUGGGGACAGCUACAGGGACAAAACUGUAUCUUGUGCAGUAUGUCUGUGGGAAACCAUUGAUAAACUUGGCCGUGAAAGUAGGUUUUGUGAAUUACAUGUAGCUUAUGGAUGUCAUCUGUUUAACCAACAUCUUCCUGUGUGUGUAGAGCACACCAACACAGCAAUAACAGCUGUUUCUUCUUGCUCUAAGGGGCUGCCCACUGUUUGGUCCUGCUACCUCCCAUUGCACCCAUUGCUUAGUGAGACAACUGCAUGAUGAGCUGCUACCAGCACCUCCAAAGCACUUCCUCGUGGAUUUAAUCAGUCCCUAAGAUGUCAACAAGAUAAUCAGUUUGGCCAUCCAAAAUGGAAAGGGGAAGAAAAGAAAGGUUUGACACGCAGUGGCAGACAUGUAAAAAUGACUACAUGCCUUCCCGAGACAAAGGUAUCCAGCGCCUGCAUGAUUGCUUCACUGUCGUCACCACUGGGUUUUAAGUAUUUAUUCCCUUUGUCUCUUUUGGAAGAUAAAAUAUAAAGUACAGCUUCGCCAAAGUAAUCACGUCCUCUUUUUUUAUUUUUUUUUUUAAACAGACUGCCUUCUCCCCCUGUCCUCUCGGUCUUGUAAUUUCACCAGAUUGUGCAAGUGUUAAACACGACGUCCAGAAAUAAAAGGAAAGGGAGAGGGAGAGGGAGCGGAGCGAGCCUGGCUGGCGGCAGGCUGGGGUCGGGGCAGAGCCCCACGGCUCACCCUGCCCUGUGCCCGGGUGCUUGCAGCCAGGCUGCCGGCAGCAGGCAGGGUGCAGCCCAGUGCCUUUGGGCUUGGGGGCUUUUUUUGAAGUGGUUUGGUUGGGUUUUUUUUCCUGAUGCGUGUGUAUUGCGUUUAUUUGCUGCCUCUGCUAUGGAGGUGUGCUGGGGAAGCAGAGAAGAGCUACAGAAAUAGCCAGAAAGUUGUCCCGUAUUUCCUUGUUGCCUUCUUUGGACAGGCACCUCACCCCUGCAGCUCUGGCAUCCCCGACACUAUUGGAACGGUGCUGGCAGCGCUAGCUCUGACUCGGACACCCGGCCCUAGCUGGGGAAUGGGGUCCCCUCCCUCUGCCCCGUGCCAGGGGAUGUGUCCCGUUGCAGCCAGACCCUGCCCAGAGCGUGGCACCGCACCGCUCAGCCAGCAAGGUGCAGCCCAGGAAGCCUGGGAAUCAGCAACUUGCAUCAAUGCUUGCAUCUCCUGGUGGCCUGCAGACAGAGAACGGCUCCAAGCAGGAAGGAUGCGAGCAGAAAAGCAUCUUUGAAGGCAAAGGUGGCUUCAGUCCUCUUCAAAUCAAGGUCAGAAUGCUGCUCCUCCCAGGCUGGUGCUGGGAGCAAGAACAGUUAUGCUGGGAAAGAGGAAAGACACAGAUAAAUGGUAGGCAAAGGCCAGCACAUACCAAAGCAGGCACCUGAGAGCAGUGUGAUUAACUGCAGGAUGGUGCUUUACAAAGCCCUGUGAAAACAACCAGUAGUUACAUGAGGGAACCUGAGAGAGAUCAUCAAGGAGAAACGUGCCAGGUCAUCCUGACAGAGACGCAUCACACUUUGUUGACAUGUGGCACCAAGCAAUUAAGCUCAGCAAUUUAGGAAAACACCUAUUUUUACCCAUGAGGCAAUGCCCAUCACCACUGCUAAGAGAUUUUAAAAUGGGCCAUGAUGGCCAAGCCCAGUUUGAUUUUAGCAACCUUCACGAGUUGAUAUAGAAGGGUAAAAUGUCAAAGGGGGUGGCUUCCUGCUCCCACUGUAGGCCCUUUAAUGAUAGUCAUUACUGUAAGGAAACAGGGAGGUCUCACCUCAUUGCAGCUGCUGCUAGUGCAAUGCUGUCAGCAGGCACUCUGGUGGCAGGUGGCAGAGCCUGCGCCUUCCCUCUAGCAACACCAGGGCCAAUGCAGUGAGCAGACUGCACCCCCAGCCUCAGCCUUGGAAAAGAAAAGUUAGUUCUGGUGGAGUGAAAGGAUUCCUGAGGACAACUUUCAGUAAAGGCAAACUUGAACCACAAUCUGACACAACAGCCAAUAAACAGCUUCAAGAUAAUCGCACGUACCUCUGUGGUAGGCAGUGGUCUAACCCAGGCAGAGAUGCUUUUAGAACAUGGCUUUUCUCACCAGCCCUUGAUAUUUUUCUUGUGAUCGAGGCAACAUCUACAGUGAAAAACCUACGCCACAGCUGUCAGGGCUUCUCUCCAGCAGAUAAUUAAAUUCCAACUCAAUUGCCAUUGUGACAAGUGAGCUCAAGUUUGGUGGUACCAUGCCCGCCAGCCGAACGCAGGCGAGAGCCAUCAGCUGCACAGUCGUUAAUGGCUGUGCAGGAAGCAGAGGUGCUGCGGUACUUACUGGCACCCCGCAGCAGGUGGUCAGCCUCCCAGAGACUGACAAUAGCAGGGGCACAUCUCGAGAUGUGAAUGCAUUUGGAUUCGCAUGCUUACGUGGGAGGCCUGGCAAAAGUGGAGUGAGUCAACAAGUUUAGAGGACUUUCAAGAUCUCUUCCACACCAGAGAAAGGCAGGGUUUAGCCUGGGUUGGUGCGUGGUAGGAUUGCUAAAUGCAAAAAGACAAAGUCAUCCGAGUUCUCUGCUUUGGAUUGCACUCUCAAGUUGCUCUUUUAGAUAAAGAGUUUAUUUUUUUCCUCUCCACUUGAUUACAAUAUGCACAUCCCAUGUUUUUGCAGAUACAUCUCUUCUCCAUAGAAGAGAGCAUUUAAACUGAGUUUAUCCAUUAAAAAUCAGACUGCACAUUAGCUUAGAUUUAUUUAGCUUCCUAAUAACUGCUUUUUCGUAGCUGGCCCACUUCAUAUGUAAAUCCACUGUGUAUUUGUAGGCUUGUUACUGAACUUUACAAUUUUAAAUUCAGCUGGAGGAAGACUGUGAUUUAUUCUCACAAGAGAGAAAUGCUGCUUUGCUACCAGCACGCUGGAGAGACUCCUCCAGCUCAUAAAAGGUGACCAGGUCUCGUGUUGAAGAACCACAUGAGCCACAUCUGUCCCUUUGCCUUGCCUGUUGCUUGGAGGUUUACAGCCAGCCAAGCUCCGAGGCAGUCAUGAAGAUGGCCUGAUCUGAGGCAUGCGCUCACCCCAACCUCUGUGCCAGAUGAAGGACAGCAGGAGAAGGGCUACAUGGAGUCUGCUGGAAGUCUCCAUUCUCACCUUAAGACCCAGCACCAGCCUACACUCUGAAUCAUGAAGGACAAAUAUCAGGUGCGGGAGGAGUCAAGCAGAAGUAUUUUCUGUGUGUUGCCUAUGGUGUGACACAAGAGGCAUGGCUUUUGGUUGUGCCUGCACUGGGAUCAGCCAGCAGGCAUGCUUCAAGAGACCUCCUGGUCAUGCUGACGUGGAGCAAGGCUUUGAGGCAGCCAAGUGGGAUCAAACCCAGCUGCCCUAGUUGGGACGCGGCACUGGCAGCACCGGGUGGCAGCUGGGUGGACAGGUCUGAGGCUUGGCGGCACCUAAAAGCUGGGCGUAGACACUUAAGGCUGUGCCUGAAUAGGUUGGCCCCUUUCUAGAUCUCACCCUAGGCUCCUAAAGGCUGAGUUUAUUCAUCACCCUAUGUGCUUUGCUUGCAGCAUUGGCUUCUCCGCUUGUCAACACGCCGUUUUCUGAAUUCUCAGUGCAAAGGAAGCCUUUCAUGGUUUGGCAUCCUCUUAUAUGUUUAUGCUUCUCAAGAUAUAUUCUCUAGCCAAGUCUUUAAGUUCUUACAUUAGUCCCCAAGCCCAGACAUCAAUCUGUUGCUGAUCAGGUCUUUUCACAUCAUGCUGCUUUUAUCUGGAAUGCUGUUUUUGAUGCUUCCAGGGAAGCUCUGCCUGAUGUUUUUAAGAAUGUGGUUAAUAUUUUUUUUUCUUUCUGUUUAAAACGACACUUGAGUACCGCUAUUUCUUUUAACCUUUUGCUUUUACUGUAAGACUUCAGCCAGAAAUUUGCCUUAUAAAUGCUAUUAUACUGGGGAGGUCCUGAUUUGCAUCUUUGUCCUUGGGUAAUGUAGAAGCAGCACAGGGGUCCACAAGCAGACAGAGACUGAUUUUUUUUCCCCCCUUUUAUAGUCUACAAUAAAAAGUUUCUUUAAAGGGGAAGAAAAGAGAGGCACAUGCUUAAUAUUGCAGAAAAGCCUUCUUGUGCUUGAUACAUUGGAUAAACGGUUCAAGAACACUUCAUCCUCCUACAACUAUUUCCCGCACUUCUGCCAAGGUUAGGGAAACCUUGGGUUAGCUGCCGUCUGAAUGCUGCAGGCUGGUAUCAGUCUGAACAAGUUCAGCUGACUGCUUAGAAGAUUUUCUUUAUUCUUCCUCCUGUUGUCUCUCCACUUUGGCAAAUAGAAAUCACCUUCGUCUUUGGGGGAGGCCUCGGCCUGAAAGCGCCCAACAAAGAGCGGCUGGCGGCAGGUCAAGGCCCUUCCAUUGAGUCGCCCAGUCCCCAUCAGAUUGUGUUGGUGAUCAGCCAGCUGUCAGGGAAACAAGGCUCUCCAGAUCAGCGUGGUCUGGGACCAGGUGGGUCGUAAAACAUGACAGCAUAUUUCAAUAAGUGACUGAAAGAUUAAAAUAAAAUUAAAGCCACGACAGCACAAAAAAAAAAAAAAUCCAAGAAAAAUCAAAUUCCUCCCUCAUAAGGAAGCUCCCACUUUUUCCACGCCAGCAAAGAAGGAAACAAAGUGCUGGAAAGCGAAAGUAUCGGGCAAGCGUGACUAACUACAAGUGGUGGAUGUGGUCCUGCCUUCCUCGCUCCCUUUGAACUGCCUCUGUACCAUGAACUAGCCCAUUAAUUUUCCUUUAGGUGAGCAUUUUGUCUCUAAUGUAUUGGGCGAUUAACCAGAGUCCAAACCAGAAGUUUCAAUUUAAAUUUAAACUUUUACAAUUAAAUAGCCUUAAAAAGAAACGUUCUGCCUCAUGCAGAAAUGGUUUGAGUUAGAUCAUUAUGUUACAAACAUGAAGGUGGAAUCAGCUUUGACAGAGUUAUAACCAUUUCUAUCACCAUGGAGCUGCCCCAGCAUUUGUGCAGACAACAAUACUCCAAGCUCGCUCUGUACAUUUCGUAGCGAGAGCCACCUGGGUAAAGCUGACCUACUGGCUCACUGAAAAUAAGACAGCAUACAUCCAAUUCCUCCUCUAAUGGUCAUCUGCUUCAUAAUAAGGAUUGCUCUAAUCAUCGUUUUUUCUAACAGGACCACAGCCUGGGCCUAAUUGUAAGAGCUACACUCAUUUAAAGACAGGGCAUGGAGAACACAGGGGUGGGGAAAAGCGCAAAAGCUUCAGCAGAUGAGGAAGAGCGAUUUCUUCUUCUGUGUUUUCCCUUGCUGAAACUGCUCAAGAUGUAUUACCAUGGCUACCCACCUGGGAAGGCAACACUUCUCCAGUUACGUUAUGGCAGCAGAAGGCUCCCCAGGAAAGGCUUCCUUCAGGUGAGGAGAUGCCAGUGACUAUUUCCACCACAAGCCCUCCUCCUCCCACGGUGCCCAUGCCCUCUGUGCUGGCCCUGGCCCCUCCAAAAUCUUCUGCAGGCCUGGGGCUGCCCCACGGAACCAGCCACAUGUACUCUGCUCUGCUCCAUGGGAGCCGCUCUGCACAGCACAGACCACAGCCAGGCGAGGAGCGAAGGGCAGAUGUUAGUGAAAAGGCAUGGUUAGUCAGCCCUGCUCCGAGCUGGUGUCCCACAGCGGUAACAUGUGCAGGAGCGCAUUUCUCCUAACGCAUGGAUGAGGAGGUGCCUGGACGGAUGGGCUACAUGUCAUGAUUUUCGACCCUAUUUUGUGAUAUCUCAUGGGGAACAUGGCCCUGCCCGAGAUCCCCUGCGCUGGACAGCAAUGGGGACAGAAGGGGACUGGCUGCUAGCAGCUGCAGACUCCCUGCUGCCCCAUCACAUGGCCACCCACCUGCAAACAGCAGCACCGUUUCCUGACCAUCCUGCGUGACGUCUUUGCAUUCCUAAAUCCUUAAAUCCCCCCCCUGCAUUUCCCCAUACACAACACGUCAGGAAAAGAGCAAGCCUAAGCCAGGGCUGCGCGGUGGCCUGGGCACCGGCUUCAUCACACCCCUACCCAUUAGCCAAGCUGACAUCGUUAAAGUACAUACUCAUUUAAGGAUUACUCUAACGUUGCUCAUUUCUAGGUCAAUUAUUGACUUAAAUCAUGUUAAACUUUAACAUAAAUAUGCUACAAUAUCACCUGUACAUAUAUUACGAUAAUUAUAUGGUUACAAAAUUCUUUUAAAACAGCAAUUUCCCCUUUGAAACUAGGGAAACUAGCUACUGCUGGAAAAUAAAGGCUCACGGACUGCUUUGAAAUCUACACAAAGAAAUAUGAAGAUUCCCAUUACCUUCACAUCAGCUUCUCAACAAACGAUAUUCGUAACUACCGUGAGAAGGAAAGCAGCACGCCGGAGAGGGUAAAGGAAUGAUCUGCGAAGGAGCAAUCACACGCAGCCUGGGAAAGAUUUGUUCAUCUUUCA